rnacentral:rRNA from 1 species
UGCAAGUCGAACGAGAUCUUCGGGUCUAGUGGCGCACGGGUGCGUAACGCGUGGGAAUCUGCCCUUUGGUUCGGAAUAACAGUUGGAAACGACAGCUAAUACCGGAUGAUGACGAAAGUCCAAAGAUUUAUCGCCAGAGGAUGAGCCCGCGUAGGAUUAGCUAGUUGGUGUGGUAAAGGCGCACCAAGGCGACGAUCCUUAGCUGGUCUGAGAGGAUGAUCAGCCACACUGGGACUGAGACACGGCCCAGACUCCUACGGGAGGCAGCAGUGGGGAAUAUUGGACAAUGGGCGAAAGCCUGAUCCAGCAAUGCCGCGUGAGUGAUGAAGGCCUUAGGGUUGUAAAGCUCUUUUACCCGGGAUGAUAAUGACAGUACCGGGAGAAUAAGCUCCGGCUAACUCCGUGCCAGCAGCCGCGGUAAUACGGAGGGAGCUAGCGUUGUUCGGAAUUACUGGGCGUAAAGCGCACGUAGGCGGCUUUGUAAGUUAGAGGUGAAAGCCUGGAGCUCAACUCCAGAACUGCCUUUAAGACUGCAUCGCUUGAAUCCAGGAGAGGUGAGCGGAAUUCCGAGUGUAGAGGUGAAAUUCGUAGAUAUUCGGAAGAACACCAGUGGCGAAGGCGGCUCACUGG